rnacentral:rRNA from 1 species
AACGAACGCUGGCGGCAUGCCUAACACAUGCAAGUCGAACGAGACCUUCGGGUCUAGUGGCGCACGGGUGCGUAACGCGUGGGAAUCUGCCCUCAGGUACGGAAUAACUCAGGGAAACUUGAGCUAAUACCGUAUAAUGACUUCGGUCCAAAGAUUUAUCGCCUGGGGAUGAGCCCGCGUCGGAUUAGCUAGUUGGUGAGGUAAGGCUCACCAAGGCGACGAUCCGUAGCUGGUCUGAGAGGAUGAUCAGCCACACUGGGACUGAGACACGGCCUAGACUCCUACGGGAGGCAGCAGUGGGGAAUAUUGGACAAUGGGCGCAAGCCUGAUCCAGCAAUGCCGCGUGAGUGAUGAAGGCCUUAGGGUUGUAAAGCUCUUUUACCCGGGAAGAUAAUGACUGUACCGGGAGAAUAAGCCCCGGCUAACUCCGUGCCAGCAGCCGCGGUAAUACGGAGGGGCUAGCGUUGUUCGGAAUUACUGGGCGUAAAGCGCACGUA